CAGAAUCAAGUGACUUGCCUAGGGUCACACAGCUAGACACUGGAGACUUGUACUCUAUGACCUUGGAUCUUUAUAUUUCCAACUGAAUUUUCACCAGAUAGAGUCCCUGCCAGAUGUGAAAAGUGAGGCACCGAUUUGAGACAACAGAUAAUGAAGAUAACACGAAUGUUGAAGGAUACCAUGUCAAAUGCGUUCAGUAAACCUGUGAAUUCAUCUAGACAUUUGGUUUCAUUGAUGUGGGGAGCUGUCAAUGAGCAAGAUCCUUCUAUGAAGGGACACCAUCAACUU